CCACGCUCUGGGCUCAGUGCACCCACAGCUUUUCGGAAGAUCCUCACUUCCCCAAGCAUGCGUCUGCUCCUUCUCCUGGCUCCAAAGCAGGGGAUUGUCCUGACCCUGCCACAGCCGGCCGCUAGGAACACUUGGGGGUUAGGAGCUUCCUUUGUUCCUACGCAGGAGACAGAGCCUGUUGACUAGCCCUGAACCAGCCCCCGAGGCCCGAGGAACGUCUGGAGCUGGUCAUCUGAGGCCAUCCCUUGUGUGAUCACUCGCUACAGCAAGGGCAGUCGGGUUACCCUGCUUGGUUGAGACAUGAAAGCAAUCAGGGCCCACCCCUGGAGCCGGAGGUGCACGGAGCCCCUCCAGCCAACCUAGCUGCCACUUCAGGUGGAAAGGAAGAAUGUGGAUGGAGGGGAACCAAACGCACGUCUGUCUCGUUACAACGUGUUGGUCUUUGGUGAGUUUGCCCUCGGAGGAUUGCUUCCCGCUUGGCCUGCUCUGCUCUGUAUUGUCAGCGUGUGCGUGUGCGCAUGCGCGCGCAUGCCCGCAGUGGAGAGGGGCUGGUCCCCGGAGGAUGUGUUUCCCCGUCUCCCAGGGCCGCUGACUUCUCCUGGCCUCAGCCAAUGGGAAGCGUUAUUGAAGAAGCGGAGAGAAGAGGGCAGGGAGAAGCCAGAGUAUUUCUCCCCAUCUCUGUCGGCCUCGGGCAGCUUCUCUGGAAACAGCCGCCUCGCCUGCCAGGCUCCAGCUCCCCCAGACGGGCCCUUCGUCAUCUCAGCUUCCACCUGGUGGCCCCAUCCCUGGGCCCCGAAACCACCACCUUGUGUCCCUCCAGCCUACGGGUGGGGGCUUCCUGCCGUUCCCAGGUUCCAGGGCGCACGCGUCACCACCCUGUUGGGUCUCAGCAGCUCCACCCCUGUGUAAACCACUUCCCUCUGUUCCACUCCACCGUCUCGCUGGACUAAACAAGCCUUGUAAGCCGUCUCCCUACCCCCUGCCCUGGCCUCUUGCUCCAAUCCAUUCUUCACACAGCAGUGUGAAAUGUUCCUGUGCCAAGAAAGUGCCUGGCUCACUGCAGAUCCUUGACGCUGCUGGGGAGUGAAUAAGUGAGGUCUGAGAGGAGGGCAGCGUCAAGGGAUGAAGACGUUGGGGUCACAGAGUGGCCUUGGCUGAUGUUGGAGUUCGAGGCUGUGUUUAUGUUGAACAGAAGAGCACCAAGGCCCAGCUGGGAGUGCCAAGCCAGCUCUCACCUGCCAGGAGCUGCUUUUCCUUGGUGUUAAUAAGACACAGAGUAGAAGCGUGAGUCCAGGCAGAGGGGCAGUGGUCCACGUGAGAGGUGAAGGUGUCUUGCACUAGGUGAGCGUGGAGCUGAGGGGAAAUAACUGGAUUCAGGAUACAUGUGAGGCCACGGCCCGCGCUCAAACCACAUGGAGCUUUCCAGCUCCUGGGAAGGAUGCCGACCACUUGCUCCUCCAGGCCCUUCCUGGAUGGCUCUUUCUCGCCCCUCUUCUCCGGCUCCACCGCCACCCAAGCCCUGUUCCCUGAUGCAGUCCUAUUUAUCUCACUCAAAUGCUACACUCACCAGGAAGUCUUCCCCAAACCUCCCACCCCGAAUCUGGGGUAGCAGUCCCUCCUUUGUGCUUCCGUAAGACCUCGUUGCAUUAUGAUUGUUUACAUAUCUGUACCCCUCCUAGACUGUAAGCUGCAUCCGGGAAGGAGUGAUGUCUUGUUCACUGUGUGUACCCAGGUCUCAUCCCUAAUGGAUGCUUAACGAAUACAUGUGAAAUAAAUCAAUGCUUUACUGAUAUUUAUGUUCUUUCUGCACUGGUUUCCAGCAAGUCAUUAUCCACCCCGACGACCAAGCCAUAAUGCCAUUUCUAAACGAAGCUCCCUUUUCUUUUGAGCGUACCCACCAAAUGAUAUGGGAUUCCUGGCACUGCUGUGUAUAUUCGGAUUUCCUGAAAAUUACAUCUGUAAACCACUGAGCAGAAGAGACUAGGGGAUGCUGUCAUUAAGUGGCACAUUAUUGACAAUAGUCAAGACUUGGAAACAACCUAAGUGCCCAUCAACAGAUGAAUGGAUAAAGAGAAUGUGUUGUAUGUAUAUAUAUAUAUAUAUAUAUAUAUAUACACACACACACACACACACAAUGGAAUACUACUCAGCCAUAAAAAAGAUGAAAUUGUGUCAUUUGCAACUACAUGGAUGGACCUUGAGGGUAUUGUAUUAAGCGAAAUAAGCCAGACAGAGAAAGACAAACACUGUAUGAUUUCACUCAUAUGUGGAAGAUAAAAAACAACAAGAAACAAACAGAGAACAGAUUGGUGGUUACCAGAGG
ensembl:lncRNA